UACAGAGGGUGCAAACGUUGUUCGGAAUUACUGGGCGUAAAGGGCGCGUAGGCGGCAUGGCAAGUCAGGAGUGAAAGGCCUGGGCUCAACCGAGGAACUGCUUUUGAUACUGCCAAGCUAGAGUGCGGAAGGGGCAACUGGAAUUCCCAGUGUAGCGGUGAAAUGCGUAGAUAUUGGGAAGAACACCUGAGGCGAAGGCGGGUUGCUGGGCCGACACUGACGCUGAGGCGCGAAAGCCAGGGGAGCAAACGGG
rnacentral:rRNA from 1 species